AGCACAUACAGACACCCAGUGCACAAAGUGUUUUAGUGUAGGGGAGAGCAGGGUGUCCGCCGCUACUACGCCCUGAAAUCACAGGGUGGUAGCAGCUGGAGAAGCAACAAUGCCAAAGAAGCUGGACUUUUUUUUUUCUUCAUUUCAUAUAAAUUUGUUGUAGUUAUUGUUAAAA